CACUUUGAAGAUACACUUGCGUUAAAGUUUACAAUGAAAAACAUCAAAGAACGAGUCGCUUGCCUAAUUUUCUUCGUGUUGUGUACCUUAACGACCAGAAAAAUAGUAUUGGGACAUUUUAGCCUUGGACGAGAUAUUAAAAAGCCUAUCGACCAGGGGCCAUCAGUAUACCCAGUAAGAGCCUUUCAAAGCGAAUCAGCACUCCGAAAAAUACACCGCACAACAGGUGAACAGGUAGUUACAGAGCAAAAGCAAGUACGAUGCAGAAAGGAUCAGUAGUUCAGAUGAUUUGCUGAACCAGAGAUGUUAUUGGCUAAAGUUUACAAUAAUUGUCUGCAUAAAUAUUAUUCCGUAUCUUAUUCUUUCUAGCAUUGAUUAUAUAGGUUAGAGGGUAGUUA